GGCCUCGUGGCCCAAUGGCAAGGCGUCUGACUACGAGAGGGAUUCAAGAACGAGUCCUUUGUGGCAAUCAGGAGAUUCUGGGUUCGACCCCCAGCGAGGUCA